rnacentral:rRNA from 1 species
GAUGAACGCUGGCGGCGUGCCUAAUACAUGCAAGUCGAGCGAACGGACGAGAAGCUUGCUUUUCUGAUGUUAGCGGCGGACGGGUGAGUAACACGUGGAUAACCUACCUAUAAGACUGGGAUAACUUCGGGAAACCGGAGCUAAUACCGGAUAAUAUUUUGAACAGCAUGGUUCAAAAGUGAAAGACGGUCUUGCUGUCACUUAUAGAUGGAUCCGCGCUGCAUUAGCUAGUUGGUAAGGUAACGGCUUACCAAGGCAACGAUGCAUAGCCGACCUGAGAGGGUGAUCGGCCACACUGGAACUGAGACACGGUCCAGACUCCUACGGGAGGCAGCAGUAGGGAAUCUUCCGCGAUGGGCGAAAGCCUGACGGAGCAACGCCGCGUGAGUGAUGAAGGUCUUCGGAUCGUAAAACUCUGUUAUUAGGGAAGAACAUAUGUGUAAGUAACUGUGCACAUCUUGACGGUACCUAAUCAGAAAGCCACGGCUAACUACGUG